CAAAACCCCAAGAACCAGGGGGGGGGGACGGUGGGGAACCAGGAGCCUGCAUAGGAAUCUAGAACACAGUGGGCUCAUAAACCCAAGACAGACUGCAUUCCCAGCUCCCUUUGAAUUUGGGUCCCUGGACACCAGGCACCCAUUCCUGCCUGUCUGCCGCUUACCAUUUCCAGCUGCAUAGGAAGCAAGCCGGGAACAGAAGGAACAGAACCACAGAUCUGUAGUAGAGGCCCUAUACAUUGAACACUUUGGAAAGUCCAUAGAAAAUAAUAGUGUUGAAGAGGAAAGAGAUGAGAAUUUUCCUCAAACUCCUGAAACUCCUUCAUUUCUAAGAACUCCUGAAGCGCUGAAGACACCUGAAUCUAUGGAGAAAAUGCAGUUCCCUAAAAGCCCCUUCUUUGAAAUAACUAAAAAUGCAACAUCUGAAGGACAUAAACAAAAGGAUUCUCCUGGAUUUUCAUUUCUUAUGAGUUACACCUCUAGAUCACCUGGACUAAAUUUAUUUGAUUCUUCUGUAUCUGAUUCAGAAAUCUCAUCGGAUCAGUUUAAUGAACAUUACUCUGCGGUAAAUCUAAAUCCUUCUUCAUCACAACAAGGAAUUGGAAACUUAUUUGGAAAAUCAGAAGGAGAAGAUGCCUUCACAUUUUCUUUUUCAUCAGACUCUUCUCACACAUUUGGAGCUGGAAAAGAUGACUUUAGUUUUCCAUUUUCUUUUGAACAGGAUCCAAGCACAAUGACUUCUUCUUCCUCAAAAGAUUUUUCAUCCUCACAAAAUAAAACACAAUUUAUGUUUUUUUGAGUUAUUAUUUUUGAACUAUUUAAUGCUAUUUAACUAUUUGAACUAUUUAAUAUCUGUAAAAUUUUGUAUUAUCACUGAAUGUAAGAUAUAUUUUUGUCAAUUAAAGUAGAAAUUGUUCCUAUAGUUG
rnacentral:misc_RNA from 1 species